CGGUGCAGGAUGGGCCCGCGGCCUAUCAGCUUGUUGGUGGGGUAAUGGCCUACCAAGGCGACGACGGGUAGCCGGCCUGAGAGGGCGACCGGCCACACUGGGACUGAGACACGGCCCAGACUCCUACGGGAGGCAGCAGUGGGGAAUAUUGCACAAUGGGCGCAAGCCUGAUGCAGCGACACCACGUGAGGGAUGACGGCCUUCGGGUUGUAAACCUCUUUCAGCAGGGACGAAGCGCAAGUGACGGUACCUGCAGAAGAAGCACCGGCCAACUACGUGC
rnacentral:rRNA from 1 species